AAACCUACGGGACGCAGCAGUGGGGAAUAUUGGGCAAUGGGCGCAAGCCUGACCCAGCAACGCCGCGUGAAGGAAGAAGGCUUUCGGGUUGUAAACUUCUUUUCUAAGGGACGAAGAAAGUGACGGUACCUUAGGAAUAAGCCCCGGCUAACUACGUGCCAGCAGCCGCGGUAAUACGGAGGAUGCGAGCGUUAUCCGGAUUUAUUGGGUUUAAAGGGUGCGCAGGCGGCCUGUUAAGUCAGCGGUAAAAGCCCGGGGCUCAACCCCGGCGAGCCGUUGAAACUGGCGGGCUGG
rnacentral:rRNA from 1 species